rnacentral:rRNA from 1 species
AGAGUUUGAUCCUGGCUCAGAGCGAACGCUGGCGGCAGGCUUAACACAUGCAAGUCGAACGGGCGUAGCAAUACGUCAGUGGCAGACGGGUGAGUAACACGUGGGAACGUACCUCUUGGUUCGGAACAACACAGGGAAACUUGUGCUAAUACCGAAUGUGCCCUUCGGGGGAAAGAUUUAUCGCCUUUAGAGCGGCCCGCGUCUGAUUAGCUAGUUGGUGAGGUAAAGGCUCACCAAGGCGACGAUCAGUAGCUGGUCUGAGAGGAUGAUCAGCCACAUUGGGACUGAGACACGGCCCAAACUCCUACGGGAGGCAGCAGUGGGGAAUCUUGCGCAAUGGGCGAAAGCCUGACGCAGCCAUGCCGCGUGAAUGAUGAAGGUCUUAGGAUUGUAAAAUUCUUUCACCGGGGACGAUAAUGACGGUACCCGGAGAAGAAGCCCCGGCUAACUUCGUGCCAGCAGCCGCGGUAAUACAGAGGGUGCAAGCGUUAAUCGGAAUUACUGGGCGUAAAGCGCGCGUAGGCGGUUGUGUAAGUUGGAGGUGAAAUCCCCGGGCUCAACCUGGGCAUUGCCUUCAAAACUGCACGGCUAGAGUAUGGGAGAGGAAGGUAGAAUUCCAGGUGUAGCGGUGAAAUGCGUAGAGAUCUGGAGGAAUACCGAUGGCGAAGGCAGCCUUCUGGCCUAAUACUGACGCUGAGGUGCGAAAGCAUGGGGAGCAAACAGGAUUAGAUACCCUGGUAGUCC